GCCUCACUCCUUACCUCUCACUUGUCUCAGUAAACCAAGCAGGAAGAAUAUGGGAGCCCGAGCCUGACAGCCUUCCUGGAGCUGCUGAGACAGACAGUGAGGGCACUCUGGGGCUCCUUCUUGUGUGCUGAGUGAUCUUCUCUGUCCUCUAACCCUGUCUUCCUUCGACCAUAGUGCUGCAUUACGUCCCAUCUGCUGACCUGAGGGCAAGACCUCACCUCCUGCUGCUGCUAACUCACUUCAGUCGUGUCCGACUCUGUGUGACCCCAUAGACGGCGGGCCACCAGGCUCCCCUGUCCCUGGGAUUCUCCAGGCAAGAACACUGGAGUGGGUUACCAUUUCCUUCUCCAGUGCAUGAAAGUGAAAGUGAAGUCGCUCAGUCCUAUCCGACUCGUAGCGACCCCAUGGAUCGCAGAUUACCAGGCUCCUCCAUCAUGGGAUUUUCCAGGCAAGAGUCCUGGAGUGGGGUUCCAUUGCCUUCUCCCCUGGAAGAUGUCAAAUCCACAGAUGCCUGGUGAGAAGUGCACCGGCAUCUCAUCUGGACGCUUCUGCCUAAGGCUUCCUGGAAAUGGCUUCUGCAGUUCUUUAGUGUUUGACAGAUGCAUGAUAGGAUCAACUCAGCCAACAUGGUAUCUUGCAGAGGAGUGUGAAUGCCCUAUGGAUCUCCCAUGCUCCAUCUGUUCAUCCCUCAAAACCUCACUUGGAACCCCUGACAACUACUCAACGUUUUACUCUUUCUAAAGAUUUGCAUUUUCCAGACUGUAACACUGAUGGACUCAUACAAAAUGCCUCUUAUUAAUAACUACCUGAUACCACUUGCACCCUAGACCUAGCUUUGGGAGCCCACCUGCAUCACCACUUAUUGAAAUGAGAUACCACUCUUUAAAUGAACUGACCUGUUCUCAGAAUGAUGCAACUGCUGCCAUGAAAUGGAGGAUUCCACUAAUUCAUUCUCUCUCUCCACAGUGACCAGAUCAGCUUUUACCAGGUGAGACUUGUAGGCAAGUUUCAGAGGAGGGACCUGUCAAGGCUUAGGGCACUCGGCC
ensembl:lncRNA